rnacentral:lncRNA from 1 species
AAUGACAUAAUUUUGGUAGGAUCAAUAGAAGUGUUAGAAAAGUAAUUAUUUUACGUGUAACAAAAUUUACUACUUACAUUCUCCGAGAACGACAAAUUAAAAAAAAAUAGCUAUUACUAUCGAUUGCUACGUAUAAAAGUUUGUAAAUUUUGUUAAUAAUAGAAACUAGUAAGUGACCCGUCGAAAUUCGAUGGACUCUAUUAAAAUAUAAAUUUAUAAAAUUAUUAAUGUAUUUUUUGUUGCAUAAUUUUUUUUUACUAAAAUAAAGAAUUUAAUGAAAUUAUUUUAAAGUAAAAAAUUAUAAUAUUUAUUUGAAAUUGACCGACCUAAUUUAAAUAUCUUAUGAAAUUUAUAUGUAAGCAGAGUUUCGAUUCAAAAAAAUAUUAAAAGAGAAAUUUAAACAAUUAUUUGAAACGUACCUAUAUUAUAGUUGGAACCAGUAAUUAAAAAAAAUAAGAAAAGAAUAAAUUAGAUAAUAUCACUAGUGACUUAAACUUUAAAAGUUUGAAUAAAUUCUUAAAUUUGCAACCUCAUAAUCUAUCGAAAAUUUCAUCAUACACCAUAUUAGUUGUUGCGUCUUGCGUAUGACCUUUUUUUAGUGACUUUUGAGAUUGUCGCGUAGAGUUGUUCAUAACUAAAAAUAGGUUUCGACUACAUUUGAAAGAGAUUAUCCAUGACUUUUAUUUAUUAUCGACAUAGCAAAACAAACACUCAUAUAGAAUUGCCUUCUCUGGAACCGAAUUGAAAAUUUAGUGAGUUGCGAUAAAAUUGUAAUCAUUCUAGCUAUAGAAAACUUCUUGCGCGCAUUUUUUUUCCUGAAAUGAGUUUGCCUUCACUUACGUGUUCUCCAAGUUGAUUUACCAUCAGUCUGGUGUCAUUGCAAAGUUCAUUAGAUUGAUCAUAUUUUUUAGAAGCGUGAUUAUGCAUUUCUCUUUAAAUUUAAUCUCAUGACUCGACAAUCCUGAACACUUGAUCGUGUCGAGAUAUUCAACUGAGAAUACUUGUUCAUCGAGGUCAAUUUGUCCAUCUUCUUUGCAAAUUUUGUUUGAACUUAGGUAAACCCUUUCUUUGGUAGACAUUAGAGACAUGACGUAAUCAUUUAUCGUAUCAACCAUUUCAUUAGGGGCUAAGAUAGCUCUAUUCUUAAACAUUUUUUCUGCUCUAUUCUUGAUUUGUAAAAUAUUAAUAUAAUGAUUUAUGUAUUUUCUAUUUUCCGUUUUAGGAUAUGAUUUAUUUUGCUAAUAUAAUGAUUUAUGUAUUUUCUAUUUUCCGUGUAUGGAUAUAAAUAAAAUUUUAUUGAUAAGUGGAAUACUAAUAUAAAGAUUUUUAGAUAUUUAAUAGUUUUUAGAUAUAUAAUAAUUUUUAGAUAUUUAAUGGUUUUUGGAUAUGGAAAUUGAU